CCUUGUGCAUCUCCCCCGCUCGUCAGCACGGCCAUGGCCCGGCCAGCCCCCGUCAUCUUCAGCUUCUCCAGAUCCAUCGAGGCCUUUCUUCUCGCCGGC